rnacentral:rRNA from 1 species
GAAUUCAACUCCUACGGGAGGCAGCAGUGGGGAAUAUUGUACAAUGGGCGAAAGCCUGAUCCAGCCAUGCCGCGUGUGUGAAGAAGGUCUUCGGAUUGUAAAGCACUUUCAGUUGGGAGGAAGGGCAUUAACCUAAUACGUUAGUGUCUUGACGUUACCGACAGAAUAAGCACCGGCUAACUCUGUGCCAGCAGCCGCGGUAAUACAGAGGGUGCAAGCGUUAAUCGGAAUUACUGGGCGUAAAGCGCGCGUAGGUGGUUUGUUAAGUUGAAUGUGAAAUCCCCGGGCUCAACCUGGGAACUGCAUCCAAAACUGGCAAGCUAGAGUAUGGUAGAGGGUAGUGGAAUUUCCUGUGUAGCGGUGAAAUGCGUAGAUAUAGGAAGGAACACCAGUGGCGAAGGCGACUACCUGGACUGAUACUGACACUCAUGCACGAAAGCGUGGGGAGCAAACAGGAUUAGAUACCCUAGUAGUCCAGGCGUU